CAGAAAUUCGAUUGGAUUUACCUUCCAAAACGCGUCUCCAAUAUUAUAUAUUAUUAUUACGUCGUUUGCGAAUUUGCGAUUGAUUCGCGUUUCGUGAACAACAUUAUUAUAUAGGUGGUGUUCACGAAGGAUUUUUUUUAUAGGCCUACUUUUUGAGCAUAAAACCGGUUUCUGUUUAUACGUAUAUAGGGACUUAAAAACAGCAAACUCGGUUUACCGUUAUGUUCUGUUGGGGUAUGAAGAGGAGGAUACCUAGAAUCGUGUGUUUUCGAUUGUUUUUUUCGAAUUCGUUCUCGAAAAAAUACUGUAAAAUGGCCGGGGACAAGAAACCGUUUGGACGCCUACCAAAAUCUGUAAAACCAGUGUUAUAUGAUUUAUUUUUGAAGCCGGAUUUGCAAAAAUUCACAUUUGAAGGCAAAGAAACAAUUUCCAUUAACAUUCUGGAAUCAACCAAUAAAAUAAUUUUACAUGCAUUGGAUUUAAAAAUUGAAGAAGUCGAAUUAAAAGACAGUGAUGGAUUUAUUUCCAAACCUUCAGUUACACUAUCAGCGGAAGAUGAAACAGUCACUUUGGGAUUUGAUAAAGAACUACAAAUAGGCGAAGCAUUUUUAAAAUUUAUAUUUGUUGGUGAACUCAAUGAUAAAAUGAAAGGAUUUUACCGUAGUAAAUAUGUCAGUGUGAAUGAUAGCGGCAAUCAGGUUGAAUUCUACUCGGCUGUUAGCAUGUUGUGUUCAACUCAUGCACGUAGAAUGUUCCCUUGCUGGGAUGAACCAAAUCUGAAAGCUGUAUUUGAUAUAUCUGUAGCUGUGUGUAACACAUCUCACCGAGCUUUGUCUAAUAUGCCUGUGGUUUCUGAUACAACUGAAGAAAAUGGAGAUCGUUUACUUAAAUUUCAAAAAACUCCAAUUAUGUCUACUUAUUUGGUUGCCGUUGUAGUAGGAGAUUUUGAUUAUGUAGAGGACAAAGAUUCAGAUGGUGUUUUAGUGCGGGUCUAUACACCAAUUGGAAAAAGUGAACAAGGAAAAUUUGCCUUGGAAGUUGCUAAAUGUGCAUUACCUUACUACAAGGAUUAUUUCCAAGUAGCAUAUCCUUUACCAAAAAUGGAUUUAAUAGCUAUUGCUGAUUUCUCAUCUGGGGCUAUGGAAAAUUGGGGUUUAGUAACCUACAGAGAAUCAUGUCUCUUAGUUGAUCCAGACAAUACGUCAGCGGUUCGUAAACAAUGGAUAGCUUUAGUUGUUGGGCAUGAGUUGGCUCACCAAUGGUUUGGAAAUUUAGUUACAAUGGAGUGGUGGACACAUCUUUGGUUAAAUGAAGGAUACGCUUCGUUUGUGGAGUUCCUGUGUGUGGAACAUUUGUUCCCAGAAUAUGAUAUAUGGACACAAUUUGUCACAGACACAUAUAUUAGAGCACUUGAAUUGGAUGCUUUAAAUAGCAGUCAUCCCAUUGAAAUACCAGUAGGCCAUCCAUCUGAAAUUGAUGAGAUAUUUGAUGACAUUUCAUAUAACAAGGGUGCUUCAGUUAUCAGAAUGUUACAUAACUUUAUUGGAGAUCAAGAUUUCCGUAAAGGAAUGAAUCUGUAUUUGAAUAAACAUCAAUACAGCAAUACAUUUACUGAAGAUUUAUGGGCAGCCUUAGAAGAAGCCAGUAAUAAACCAGUUAAAGAUGUCAUGUCUACAUGGACAUUACAAAAAGGAUUCCCUGUAAUAACUGUUGAAAAAGAAACUCAAAAUCCUGAUGGAUCGAGGGUUAUUAGUGUAUCUCAAACUAAGUUUACUGCUAACGGACAAGUUGAUGGUGAUGGUAUUUUAUGGAUGGUUCCAUUAACAUUUUCUACAUCUCGAAAUCCAGAAAUUGUGUGUCAUAAAGAAAUAAUGUCUGAAAUUCAAAAGGAUAUAAUCAUUCCUGCUAAUGCAAUUUCACCAGGAGAAUGGGUUAAAGUAAACCCGAGUACUGUUGGAUAUUACAGAACUCGUUAUACACCUGAAUUACUUAAAAAUUUUGUACCAUCUAUAUCGUCAAGAACAUUACCACCUUUGGACCGUCUUGGAUUACUUGAUGAUCUCUUUGCUUUAGUUCAAGCUGGUCUCUCAAGUACAGAUGAAGUACUAAAUUUAAUGUUGGCUAUGACGGAUGAAGAUAAUUAUUCUGUUUGGUCGUCAAUGAGUAAUGUGCUUGGUAAAUUAGCUAUAUUAUUGUCUAAUGUUGAAGGAGAUACAGAACAAUUAUUUAAACAGUACAACAGAAUUCUUUUAAAAAAAAUAUCAUCAAAAUUGGGAUGGACUCCUCAGCCUAAUGAAAGUCACCUUGAAACAAUGCUGAGAGGUUUAGUAAUGGCUCGAUUGGUAUCUAGUGCUGAUCCUGAUGUUAUGUCUGAAGCUAAGAUAAAGUUUGCUAAUCACUUAAGUGGUAAAGAAACUAUUGUAGCUGAUUUGAGAAGUCCUAUUUAUAAAGCUUGUUUGUCAUCUGGUGAUGAGACCACUUUUAAUCAAUUAUUACAGCUCUAUAGAGGAACUGAUUUACACGAAGAAAAGGAUAGAAUAUGCAGAGCAAUGGGAGCAUCUAAAAAUAAAGAUAUAUUAAAAAAAGUGCUUGAUUUUGCAAUGUCUGAUGAAGUUCGUUCACAAGAUACAGUAUUUGUAAUAAUUUCUGUUGGUGGAUCUAAAGUUGGAAGAGAUUUAGCUUGGCAAUUCAUUCAAGACAACUGGUCAAAAUUAUUUAAUCAAUACCAGGGUGGUUUCUUGUUAACUCGUUUGGUGAAAAAUACAACAGAAAACUUUUCUUCUAUUGAAAAAGCUGAAGAAGUAGAGAAUUUCUUCAAGCAUAAUGGUUGUGUAGGUGCUGAAAGAACAAUUCAACAAGCUUGUGAAACUAUCCGAUUAAAUGCUGCGUGGUUAAAGAGAGACUAUGAAAAAUUACAAAAUUUCCUUCAUAAAGUCGUCCAAAAAUGACUUUAAUGUCUAAUGGCUUGCUCAACAAUGCUCAAUAACUGUUCCAGUUAGUCAAAAAAGCUCGACAUAAUACAAAGAAGAAGCAGCAUUUUAUUAACGGUUUUUCGUUAACCAAAGUCAUUUUGUUACAUUAAUGUAAAUUUUUAAUGGCAUAACCUAUCUUAUAUUGGGCAUAUAUUCUUUUUUUUUUCAUUAAUAUAAAUGUAUUCUUUA